rnacentral:rRNA from 1 species
GAUUAACGCUGGCGGCGUGCAUAACACAUGCAAGUCGAACGAUGAAACUUUAAUGAAUCCUUCGGGGAGAAUUAAAGCGGCUUAGUGGCGAACGGGUGAGUAACGCGUGAGUAACCUGCCUUACACAAGGGGAUAGCCUUUGGAAACGACGAAUAAUACCCUAUAAAACCAUACAAGUACAUGCAAUUAUGGUCAAAGUGAUAGCGGUGUAAGAUGGAGUUGCGUCUGAUUAGCUAGUUGGUGCGAUAAAAGCCCACCAAGGCAACGAUCAGUAGCCGGAUUGAGAAAAUGUACGGCACCAUUGGGAGUGAGACACGGCCGAGACUCCUGCGGGAGGCAGCAGGGGGGAAUUAUGCACAAUGGGGGAGAGCCUGAUGCAUCGAGGCCGCAUGAUUUAGAAGGCGGGCGGGAAGUAAAGAUCGUUAGUAUAGGAAGAAAAUGACGGUACUAUACGAAUAAGGACCGGCUAAUUACGUG